rnacentral:rRNA from 1 species
ACGAACGCUGGCGGCGUGCUUAACCCAUGCCAGUCGAACGGAAAGGCCUCUUUCGGGGGGUACUCGAGUGGCGAACGGGUGAGUAACACGUGAGUAACCUGCCCUUGACUUUGGGAUAACUUCAGGAAACUGGGGCUAAUACCGGAUAGGAGCUCCUGCUGCAUGGUGGGGGUUGGAAAGUUUCGGCGGUUGGGGAUGGACUCGCGGCUUAUCAGCUUGUUGGUGGGGUAGUGGCUUACCAAGGCUUUGACGGGUAGCCGGCCUGAGAGGGUGACCGGCCACAUUGGGACUGAGAUACGGCCCAGACUCCUACGGGAGGCAGCGGUGGGGAAUAUUGCACAAUGGGUGGAAGCCUGAUGCAGCAACGCCGUGUGCGGGAUGACGGCCUUCGGGUUGUAAACCGCUUUCGCUCAUGACGAAGCUUUGUGUGACGGUAGUGGGUAAAGAAGCACCGGCUAACUACGUG